AAAAAAAACCGCAAAGACCUAUUUUCUCGCAUGGAUUCAGAUUAAUCGUAUAAAACGGCAAAUGGUUAGCUUAACACCUUAGCCGCCUUAACUAUACGAUUACGUUGGACCUUUUUACAAAAAUCGACGUCUUAUCUAAGGAGAAGAUAACAGUCAAGUUCGGAAGAUAAAUGUCAAGUUUCAAAGGGUAAACACCAAUAUCGGAAAUGGCGAACAUACACGAGAAUAGGAAACGGAAAUGAGCACGCAAAACUGAGAAGGGACAAAACUGCAUCUUC
rnacentral:lncRNA from 1 species